CCGCGCUCAGGCUGGAGGAGCGGGAGCUGCAGGUGCCUCCGCCCCGGAGCUUCUGAAGCUCCGUGGGACCACGGCGGGUCCGCCGAACCUUACGCGUCAUCACGGAGCAGCCGACCGGGGCCGGAACCCAGCUCGUCCCGGGACAUCACGGUGAGGGAGGGGUGAGGCGGGAGUGUCCGCUCCGUAAGUACCGGCAGGAGCGCGCGGACACGGACGCGGAGCCACUUUAUCCGCGCUUUCACAAGUUUGCGCUUCUGAGUGGAGAGAAGCUCCGACACCGCGGGAGGAGCAGAGAGGAGCAGAGGGGAGCGGGGGUGUUUGGCGGGAGGAAAAGAGAAAGAGAAGAAGGAGGAGAGCAGCUCGUGCCAACUCACCAUCCACCACGUCCUGGCUGAGAUGUCGUAGCACAGCUGCCAUUUGAUGGAUCCUUCCGAGCUUUUCCCCGCCAUCACGCUGUCCGCGAGCCUCAUCUGAGAGCGCGCUCACCGGACAUGAGACACCUCACCGAGAAAACAUUUGCUCUGGCAUGUUGGGCAACAUGUAGCCGCAGCACAUGGAAUCAUGGGAAAAAAAGCGCCCUGACAAUGAACCAAUCUCCUGCAGACCCCGUGGCAAGGUGAGCGGCAGUCAUCUGCUGCGAGGAAAACACACCCCCUACACACACACACACCCUACACGCACAAACUCACUGCACAAGCAGACACACACACUCACUGCAUAUACACGCGCACACACUCUAUACGCACACAACACACACUCACUCACACGCGCGCGCGUUCGAGCGCAGGAAUGACGAGCCUUUUUACGCAUCGUCGCGCGCCUCGGGUCGCUUCUCCCUUUCUUCCUCCUCCGGUUUAAUUAGGGCUUCUUCAUCAUCAUCAGGAGCAGAGGAAGAGGAGGCGAGCUGAACUUUGCAAACUUCUUCUUCGUGGUCACUUUAAAGGCAGCCGAGCCUCGUGUGUUUUGGCAUAAAUACCUCCAGACCGAGGGGCCAUGCGCGAGUGGACCCUGGACAGAGCGCACCUCUCCCGGCCGAAGCCUCAUCAUCCCGAGCUCAAUCAGUAAAUCAGAUGGACUGAGCGGCGGUGUCGUCCCAUCACAUGUGCUUCAGCCCUUCAGCCUAAGAGAGCCUCGCUCUGUGUGUGUGCGUGGGGGGGUCUGAGCAGGAGGUGGUGUGUGUGGGGGGGGGGUGGUGAAGCUCAGGUUCCUAAUCAGACGGGGAAUACCUGAACCAGGGCAGAGCCGCCAUCAAACAGUUCACCCAUUGUGGCGGCCAAACGGAGGAAUGCGAUUCGGCCGGAGAUACGUCGGAGGGGGGGGGGUGUUAAGCUACGCCAGGCCAGGAGGAGGGGGUCUCUGGAAAGUUUGGAAAGAAAUUAGAAUAAAUUUGGAGAGCCCUGCAGUGAAAGGUUGAAUCAAGUCGGGCUUAUGGAGCAUGCUCAGGUGCAGUUAUCGUCUGUGGUGCUGUUUGGGAUCAUCUAGGACACGUCGUUCACCGGGAACACGAGGAACCAGCUCCGUCUUCCCUGCUGACAAACUUUGUGACUCCAGCCACGAGCGUUCGGCAGAUGCUGAGUGGAACUGUUUUUGUAGGCCAGCCCUGGCGUUAGCAUCGCUCCGCUUCCCUCCACAUGUGCGCUGAGGAUGAUCUCUGAAUUCAGACUUUAUGAAGCUUGCGUGUUUUUUUUCACUCAGAAACUUUCUGCAAACUAGCACAGCUUUCACAAUUUUCAGUUCCCGACAACUCUGCUGCCUGUCAGGUUUUAUCAGGAAUUUUCCUGUCAGAUGAAUUAAUAAUCGGUCAGAAAUACUUCCUGUGCAUUCAAGGGGCUGCAUGAACUUGUUAGUCAGGCUCCUUUUAAUCAAAUCAUAUCGUCGAAAUCUGCAGAUCUGUGUCUAACGCUGCAAACACACACACACACUGUCAGGUUGGUCUGGAGUGUGACUAACCUGAGUAGAGCCAGCACCAACAGUCGUGGUUUCUUCCUCAACCGGCAUCCACACGGCGGUGUAGGUCGCGGUUACAUGUUGCUUCGGUCGAUUAGUUAUUUUCCACUUUAUUCUAAGAAAGCCGACACAAAACUGCUAGUCAUUCACAUGAAAGUGAACAGUUGGCAGCACUGCCUUCUGUUUGCGUCUGAUUCGCCGAUUCGUAUCCUAAAUUUGUGGAGAGAGAUGGACGAGGCGAGGCCUGCCGGGAUAGGCAAAUACCUGAGGCCGUUUACCAUUAGUAGAAUAACCUGACUAACACGGACAAGGACCUUGAAACACUUCCCUUGUUUUUCCUGAUGAUUUUUAUUUUUCAAAGCCAGACGUCACUAAGCUCUUAACCGAGACGUCAGGAACCAGGAAAUGUAAACCACUUUUAAAUACUGGCUUUUAGGGCCAAUUCCUGUAGCAGCAGAGACCCUACAUUUAUAACUGUUGUGACAAAUACAUUUAUGCUCACUGUAUUUCUGAUUUAUGCUCACUGUAUUUCUGCAGUAUCCCUUAAAAUUGUUAAAUGUUGAUUAUAAUGGUGACCUAUCCAGUUUGUGCCUCUCCAUGAUAGCUGGGAUGUCAGUUUUAAUUUUAAGUACGCUGUCUGCUACCCAAACAGACCCAUCUCAGCUCUAAUCCACCUGGACUUCAUGAUUAAAGGUACAGUUACACUUUUCUCCUGUAAAUUAAACCUGUUUUAGCUGCUGAUGUAAAAUAAGUGAAAAGUCUCACAGCAGGCUGUGAAAUACUCACCAAACUGUCCCUGAAGUCCACUCCAGGUAUGAGGAGGAGGCCUUUUACCUCAAAGUUCCAGUUUGAACCAGAAAUGGGUUCAACGCUUGGAGACAUUUUCAGCUCCUCUGUGUUUCGUUUUGGCCAACUCGCUCGGCUUAAUGAAAACAUCGUGGACAGAGUGAAACAUUUUCACCACACGUUUCAAAGCUUAUUUUUUCUUGGUCUCUUACCGCUGAGUCCAUUAGAGACGUCCUUUCACGUUUCAAAGUCACGAAAAACCGCCAUUAAAAAAAAACAACUAUUAAAUUAUUCAGCCAUGUAAUAAUUUACCACAAGUUCACCUUUAAAAUUUGGAUAAGUUAAUCCUAAUUACUUACACAUACUGAAACAAAUCAUAAAUGUAUUAAUGUGUUAAUAUAAAUUUAGCUUAAACUAUAUUAGCCUAAUCGUUCGUUUUUUUAGCAUCAUUUAAACAGUUAGCUAACAUUCACAUUCAAGCUGAACUCUACGAUUUAUUUAAGAAAAACUGCACACAUGACAAUUUCACAUGUUCAAUAUGUAAAAUUAACAGCUGAAUAAAAACCUGCGCAAAAAGAAAAACUGAAUAUAAACUAAAUUAAACUUUUUCUUCAACAAUAAAAGUGAAUUGAAAAAACUUUAGCUGGUAAAAUAAAAUGUUGAUCAAUACUAAUAUAAAACUGAAUAUACUAAUUUUAACUGAUAUUAAUACUGGUCACAUUACGUUUGCACCUGUGAGCUGCUUAAACCAAAUAUAUCUCUUACCAUCACCAUGGUAGCAUACACGUGUCUCUAACUCCUCGUAGAAGUGUUCAUCAACCCGGAGGAAAUUUACUAUAUGAACUGCUCAGGAUAUUUAUCUAUGCUUUGGAAAUAAUUCUUAAAACACACAAAAACACUUAAAUUUUUACAAUGAUUUACAUAUUUAUAUAUGUAGUAGCUGAUGUCACAGGAAUGAUGACAUUACGUAUCCAUUAUUUGGAAAUAAACGUUUACUAUGGAUGGGUUGUUUUCUAGUAUUUAUAGCAAUAAUAUGCUCUUGUACGUUUCCGGAAAUACACAUUAAAUCUGAGCAAUCUUAUUUUUGUUAUUGAAUAAAAUUAUGCAAGUCUAUUUUAAAUGUUAGUGGUCGAUUAAAAAAAAAAAAAAAACUAUAAGUGCCUAAUGUUAUUAUUGUUAUGAAUAUGAAUGGUGCUACGUGCAUAUAUAUAAUACUGAAAUUGAUUGAAACAAUCACCCCCCCCCCCCAACAAAAAACAAUUAUAUUAAAUAUAAACGUUAAAAAGCGACUUUUGUUGUAAGUUAUGUAUUUUCAAAAAUUAUGAAAAAGUGUUUACGUUUUACUUUGUAAUGAAGUUCAGAUUUUAAUUCAGAAAUGAUGUCUGGUCUGCAUUCACACGUGCGUCAGUGGGUCUAAAAAAUAAACAUCUGUCAGUGCAGCAGGCUCCAAACUGUGAGACUGCCUGAAUAUUAAUACCUCCUCACCGCGGGGAGCUGGGUUUAACCAGGAAGUGAUGAUGUUGUGUGUGAAGACCUGACUGGAUGUCAAUAAAAGUGUGAAGUUUUCUUCUGUGUGGCCCUUUCGUGUGUCAGAUGAGUGGGACCUUCACGCUUUGCAGUACCUGCACACUCUGAAGCAGCUGCCGGGCUUUAACUCAGCUCCCAGCAGAAGGCGCUGUUGUGUUUCUUGGACCUCCUGUGCUCACCUGCAGAGGCAAGUUGGCACAUUUGUCCUUAUUCCACCUGAUUCUGCUGAGAGUUCUACUCACCUGCCGCAGGGCAGUAAUUUAUUCUCUCAGAAUAAACACAAAACUGACGGUGAAAAAUGCAUCAUGUUUAUCAUCAUCAUCACUCAGUGGAAUCAUUUAUUCUUGCAGGGCAGAGAUUAGAUGGAUCUGUGUUCAUCUACUGAAAACGUGACUUUUUCUGCAAACAUAUUAAAAAGUAAUCAUUUGGGAGCAAAAAUGAAAACCUUUUUAAAAUCACACUGCGGACCCGCUGAUAUUAAUCAAAUAAACACUUACUUAAAAAUAUAUUUGUUCCCACAUAUUAUUAAGGAAUUCAGACAAUGAGGUGUAACUGAAUUAAAUAUAAAGCACAUUUAUAUUUAUACGGAACAUAUUCUUUUACGUUAAUUUUAUUAUAUUUCCACAGUUAACAGAUUAAGAAAGCACCAGUGUUGCGUUUCACGGGGCACACGGCUCAUUUUUCAAUAUUUUUCUGGCCUCUGUGAAAAAGCACAGUACAAAAAUACACAGAAACAAGUGAAAAUGCUGCAAAACCCAAAGCAUGAACAACAAGCUUUCAUGUCGACCACAAACUGUCAGCACGACGAGCCGAGAACACAUUUCUCCAAUUUUUCCACUAAAUCCAAUAAGUUACCCAAAUAUAUGUGUUUCACUUCCUUCCUCCCCCGAACUACAGAGACAAAAAGACCUGAUUGUCAGCAGCUGUUUUUCCCAUUGCCCCCCCCUCUUUGCGCAGCACGGUGGCGCCCCCGGGCGUCGCAGCAGGAGCACCCUGCCACCCACCCGUCUGUCCGUCCACCCGGCCGCUGAAGCUCACCGAAGCCAAAGCGUCCAUAUGAGGACACACUAUCAGGGACAUUUCCCCGAGUAGCUCGCCAGCUGUCCCCGCAGCACUCGCCACAUCAGCCAUAUUAAAUGACCCUUUGUCUUCUUCCUGCUCCCUGUCUCUCGUGUAUUCUCGCACCUAAUCUUCGCUGUCUGGCAGUGCAGCACUUGCAGAACAUUAGAGGAGCAUUUAAACGAAGCGUUUGACAAAAGCCAGGAAGCCUGAGCUCCAAACAACAGUGUUUGUUUUCAUGCCUUUCCCCCUUGUCCUGAUUACUGUCAGAUGCCUUUGUGUUCCAGGUGGCUGAGGCUGCAGAGGGAAAACCACAUGCAGAAACAAACACCACACAUCCUCCUUUAUUCCCGCUGCUGUCAGCGUACACAUUCAGCACACCACCAAGGGUAAAAGAACCACAUGGCCAUGGAAUCCACAACAGAACUGAUUACUGUCUCCGGGCCGCUGACGAAUCAGCACCAGCUGAAAGUGAAUGAGCUCACUAGUGGUAUUUAACCUGUGUUUCUCUCAGGGUUUGCAUCCAAUAAAGGUCAAUGCUGCUGCUCACAGAAAAACAUUUAUGAUUUUCUGAUCCUGACGGAAAUCGGCAGGAGAUCCUCCACAGGUCCAGAAGUGUGCUGGUCUCAUAUAUCUGAGGCUUGGGUAGCAGGCUCCUUAAAAGUACUGAAAGUUGAGGUGUGGACUCUAAAGUGGAAACUGUGUCAGAUCUGUUUAUUCGCCUGCGAAAAAUCAGAAAAAUCUAGCUUAAUCUGAAAAUCAAAUAUCAAAACAGUGAGUUGCAACGGGAAUAUGACCAUAUUAAACAAAUAACAACAACUAAACAUAUCGUUUUCAUCUGGUCACAUAAUAAUCGUAUGAAACUAUUCAUUUUGAUCUGGGGCAUUUUUGAAUAUGACCAGCAAUUACAACUGCAUUCUUCACUUUCACAUCACUUCCCUCAGUUUCAUCAUUUCAAUUUCUUUCCCUUCAUCCUCGACAGGUCUCGGCAGAUUCCCGU